rnacentral:rRNA from 1 species
UGUGCACCAUCGCGUGGGGCCCUUCUCUUUUGGCUUGUUCCGGAGAGUGGGGGUUCACGUUUUUAUAAGAACGACCCAUCAAUGCAUGUGUAGAAUGUCUUACAUCUUGCGGUCACACGCAAUCAAUACAACUUUCAACAACGGAUCUCUUGGCUCUCGCAUCGAUGAAGAACGCAGCGAAAUGCGAUACGUAAUGUGAAUUGCAGAAUUCAGUGAAUCAUCGAAUCUUUGAACGCACCUUGCACCCCUUGGUAUUCCGAGGGGUGCACCCGUUUGAGUGUCGUGAACACCCUCAACCUUCUUGGUUUAUCGACCAGGAAGGAUUGGACUUUGGAUGUUGCUGGCCUCGUUCGAAGCCAGCUCUUCCUAAACGAAUUAGUGGGGUCUGUCGUGCCGACCCUGGACGUGAUAAGUACGCUUCUACGUCUCGGCGUUGGCCUGGAAUCCUGCUUCCAAUCGNCUUUGAAUGGANACAGCUUUAUAUAANCCNUGNCCUCA